GUAGUUAGCCGGGGCUUCCUCUCAGGGUACCGUCAUUUCUUUCUUCCCCUGUCACAAAGGUUUACAAUCCGAAGACCUUCAUCCCUCACGCGGCGUCGCUGGGUCAGGGUUUCCCCCAUUGCCCAAGAUUCCCCACUGCUGCCUCCCGUAGGAGUCUGGACCGUUUCUCAGUUCCAGUGUGGCCGGCCUGCCUCUCAGCACGGCUACCCAUCGUCGGUUUGGUGAGCCGUUACCUCACCAACUGCCUAAUGGGACGCGAGCCCUUCCCAAAGCGGAUCUCUCCUUUGACCUCUCCAUGAUGCCAUGGCGUGGUCUUACGCGGUAUUAGCCUUGAUUUCUCAAAGUUGUCCCCCUCUUUGGGAUCGGUUGCUCACGCGUUACUCACCCGUCCGCCACUAAGUCAUUCCCUUGUACAAGUACUCAAGAAUGCUUCGUUCGACUUGCAUGUGUUAAGCGCGCCGCCAGCGUUCGUCCUCGAGCCAUANACAACUAACUCUACUACGAGAGGCGNGGUCGACGACGCGACAG
rnacentral:rRNA from 1 species